rnacentral:rRNA from 1 species
AACAAACGCUGGCGGCGUGCCUAACACAUGCAAGUCGAACGCGAAAGGGACUUCGGUCCUGAGUAAAGUGGCGCACGGGUGAGUAACGCGUGGGUAAUCUGCCCCUCAGUUGGGAAUAACCCAUCGAAAGGUGGGCUAAUACCGAAUAAUGCUGUAUCGCCUCGGUGAUUCAGCCAAAGACGGCCUCUGCUUGCAUGCUGUCGCUGAGAGAUGAGCCCGCGUACCAUUAGCUUGUUGGUGGGGUAAUGGCCUACCAAGGCGACGAUGGUUAGCUGAUCUGAGAGGAUGAUCAGCCACACUGGAACUGAGACACGGGUCCAGACUCCUACGGGAGGCAGCAGUGAGGAAUCUUGCGCAAGUGGGGGAAACCCUGACGCAGCAACGCCGCGUGAGUGAGGAAGGCCUUCGGUCGUAAGACUCUGUCGGGUGGAAGAAACGACAUGGGUGCUAAUACCAUCUAUGUCUUGACGGUACCGACCGAAACGGAAGACCG